UAGGGAAUCUUGCGCAAUGGGCGAAAGCCUGACGCAGCCAUGCCGCGUGAAUGAUGAAGGUCUUAGGAUUGUAAAAUUCUUUCACCGGGGAAGAUAAUGACGGUACCCGGAGAAGAAGCCCCGGCUAACUUCGUGCCAGCAGCCGCGGUAAUACGAAGGGGGCUAGCGUUGCUCGGAAUUACUGGGCGUAAAGGGCGCGUAGGCGGAUAUCUAAGUUGGGGGUGAAAGCCCGGGGCUCAACCUCGGAAUAGCCUUCAAUACUGGAUAUCUUGAGUUCGGGAGAGGUGAGUGGAAUGGCCGAGUGUAGAGGUGAAAUUCGUAGAUAUUCGGCGGAACACCAGUGGCGAAGGCGACUCACUGGCCCGAUACUGACGCUGAGGCGCGAAAGCGUGGGGAGCAAACAGGAUUAGAUACCCUGGUAGUCCACGCCGUAAACGAUGAGUGCUAGUUGUCGGCAUGCAUGCAUGUCGGUGACGCAGCUAACGCAUUAAGCACUCCGCCUGGGGAGU
rnacentral:rRNA from 1 species